GAAGCUUGCUUCUUGGGGUUGUAGGACACUCUAUACGGAGUUACAAAAGAAAGUUAUAAAUGAAGCGGUCUGGAAAGGCCCGCCAAAGACGGUAACAGCCCGGUAGUUGAAAUGGCUUUCCCUCCAGAGUGGAUCCUGAGUACGGCGGAACACGUGAAAUUCCGUCGGAAUCCGGGAGGACCAUCUCCCAAGGCUAAAUACUCCCUAGUGACCGAUAGUGAACCAGUACCGUGAGGGAAAGGUGAAAAGCACCCCGGAAGGGGAGUGAAACAGUUCCUGAAACCGUGUGCCUACAAGUAGUUAGAGCCCGUUAAUGGGUGAUAGCGUGCCUUUUGUAGAAUGAACCGGCGAGUUACGAUUUGUUGCAAGGUUAAGCGGAAAAAGCGGAGCCGUAGCGAAAGCGAGUCUGAAUAGGGCGCAUAAGUAACAGGUCGUAGACCCGAAACCAGGUGAUCUACCCAUGUCCAGGAUGAAGGUAAGGUAAUACUUACUGGAGGUCCGAACCCACGCACGUUGAAAAGUGCGGGGAUGAGGUGUGGGUAGCGGAGAAAUUCCAAUCGAACUUGGAGAUAGCUGGUUCUCUCCGAAAUAGCUUUAGGGCUAGCCUCGAGGUAAAGAGUCAUGGAGGUAGAGCACUGUUUGGACUAGGGGCCCUUCUCGGGUUACCGAAUUCAGAUAAACUCCGAAUGCCAUGUACUUAUACUCGGGAGUCAGACUGCGAGUGAUAAGAUCCGUAGUCGAAAGGGAAACAGCCCAGACCACCAGUUAAGGUCCCCAAAUAUAUGUUAAGUGGAAAAGGAUGUGGGGUUGCUUAGACAACCAGGAUGUUGGCUUAGAAGCAGCCACCAUUGAAAGAGUGCGUAAUAGCUCACUGGUCGAGUGACCCCGCGCCGAAAAUGUACCGGGGCUAAACAUAUUACCGAAACUGUGGAUGAACCUCUUUAGAGGUUCGUGGUAGGAGAGCGUUCUAAGGGCGGUGAAGUCAGACCGGAAGGACUGGUGGAGCGCUUAGAAGUGAGAAUGCCGGUAUGAGUAGCGAAAGAAGGGUGAGAAUCCCUUCCACCGAAUAUCUAAGGUUUCCUGAGGAAGGCUCGUCCGCUCAGGGUUAGUCGGGACCUAAGCCGAGGCCGAUAGGCGUAGGCGAUGGACAACAGGUAGAGAUUCCUGUACCAGUGCUAAUUGUUUAACCGAUGGGGUGACACAGAAGGAUAGGGAAUCGCACGAAUGGAAAUGUGCGUCCAAGCAGUGAGUGUGA
rnacentral:rRNA from 1 species